UACGAAGGUGGCAAGCGUUGUUCGGAUUCACUGGGCGUACAGGGUGUGUAGGCGGUUUGGUAAGCCUUCUGUUAAAGCUUCGGGCCCAACCCGGAAAGCGCAGAGGGUACUGCCAGGCUAGAGGGCGGGAGAGGAGCGCGGAAUUCCUGGUGUAGCGGUGAAAUGCGCAGAUAUCAGGAGGAACACCGGUGGCGAAGGCGGAUCUCUGGGCCGAUACUGACGCUGAGGAGCGACAGCGUGGGGAGCAAACAGG
rnacentral:rRNA from 1 species